rnacentral:tRNA from 1 species
ACCUUCGUAGUGUAGUCGUUAGCACGUUGGGCGCGUAUUCCAGAUGUCCGUGGUUCGAGUCCCGUCGAAGGCG